UCCUCAGAAAUCUCCAGUGAGUGGGCAGUCACCAAAACCGAACAAACUGGGCAAAGUCGCCUAAGAUAACACAGCUGACUGGAAACCAGCCCUGAUCUGCAGAGCUCAGGCUGUCAGCCCCAGCUGUGGGAUGACACCCUGUGUCCCUGGUCCCUCUCACAUUCAGCCAAUAAGAAAGGUGACAGGCAAGGAUGCUGAAGGAGAGGUGGUCAUGUUGGUGGAAAGAGCUGGGAUGAGACGUUCCAGGCCGACAGGCAGGAAGUGAGCAGAGAAGCCUUUGGAGGUCUGAGUGCCCAGCAAAUACCAACGGGGCUGCUUGGCCUCUACCAUCCAAAACACUUAAGACAAAUACACGUGGUGUGUGUCUCGGUGCGAAUGCUCAUCAGAGCCGACCAGGCUGAGACAGAUGAGCUGAAAGGAGAGUGUAUCCACAACUGUGCUGCUGUGGCAACGAGGGGGAGACCCACUAUACUUCAGAGUUCAAGAGUUUUCAGUACAAUGGCAGAGCAAAGUGGUUCACUCCAUGAUGGCCAAGAAGCCUGGCCUACCAGAAGGUUCCGACAGGCAGGACUAGUGUACAUGGUGACCUUUCUUCUCCACUCCAAGCUCUCCUAAGGGACUUCCACGGUGGCAUCCUGCCCGGCUACACAUCACCCAGUUUGCUGACGCUCAGGGGUCUAUAAGACUUGGAGCAAGACAGGAAGCAGCAUCCCUCCGUAGCCUCGGUAUCAGCUCCUGCCUCCAGAGUCUUGCCCUGUGUAUU